ACAGCCUUCUUUAGUUUAUAGACCCUAUCAAUUCCAAGCAAAUGAACGACUCACUGUUUUCAACCGAGUGGAAAGUGUAAAAAUCUCUGAAUUCUGAAAACCCAUUAACCUUUGGAUAGUCGGGGCGAGCGGGGACCAGAUCGGACAGGAAUGGCCGGGCAAGCAGAGUGCAGGCGGACGGCCGGGCGGGCCAGCGGGGAGCGGGCAGCCGGGCGGGCGGACAGUACCCCCAGCCGUAGAGGUACAGAGGAACCUACGAAGGACAGGUUGAAGCUAUUGAAAAGUAAACCUCAGACAUGCAGAGAGGGAUACCCUACUGUUCUACACUGAACACCAGUGCCGGCAUAUAAGGUUAUGCCCUGUCCGCGCUAAACUGACCGCACCUGCCAACGACGCAGGGUUCCGAACAGCGGAGACCAUCUCAGUGCACAGAGGCGGUUUCACUCUACAUGACGACAAACACAGCAGUUACUCAAGAAUACAAUCAAG